UGGGAGGUCCUUGGGCCUCACAACACACAUAUUGUUAAGGCCUUGCCACCUAUUUCAUGGCAUCUAAUUAUUAUAUAUU
ensembl:snRNA